AGUUAGGAAAUGUAAGUGCGCUAAUAUCGUGCUUAUUUGACAAAGGCUCCAAAGGAAGCCACGGCUAACUCUGUGCCAGCAGCCGCGGUAAUACAGAGGUGGCGAGCGUUGUUCGGAAUUAUUGGGCGUAAAGAGCACGUAGAUGGGUUUGCAAGUCAGAUGUGAAAGCCUUCUGUUCAACGGGAGAAUUGCAUCUGAAACUGCUAAUCUUGAGUAUAGGAGGGGAGAGUGGAACUUCUGGU
rnacentral:rRNA from 1 species